GACGAACGCUGGCGGCGUGCUUAACACAUGCAAGUCGAACGGAAAGGCCCUGCUUUUGUGGGGUGCUCGAGUGGCGAACGGGUGAGUAACACGUGAGUAACCUGCCCUUGACUUUGGGAUAACUUCAGGAAACUGGGGCUAAUACCGGAUAGGAGCUCCUGCUGCAUGGUGUGGGUUGGAAAGUUUCGGCGGUUGGGGAUGGACUCGCGGCUGAUCAGCUUGUUGGUGGGGUAGUGGCUUACCAAGGCUUUGACGGGUAGCCGGCCUGAGAGGGUGACCGGCCACCUUGGGACAGAGAUACGGCCCAGAGUACUACGGGAGGCAGCAGUGGGGAAUAUUGCACAAUGGGCGGAAGCCUGAUGCAGCAACGCCGCGUGCGGGAUGACGGCCUUCGGGUUGUAAACCGCUUUCGCCUGUGACGAAGCGUGAGUGACGGUAAUGGGUAAAGAAGCACCGGCUAACUACGUG
rnacentral:rRNA from 1 species